ACUGGCUACUUCUCUCUUACACAAUUAUGAGAAGAAGUGUGAAUGUCUUCCUAAGAGAGAAGGACAUGUUUUGUAUGAGUAGCUUGCCUAGGGUGCAGAGCCAUGAGCUAUUUAAGGUCAAUUCAAAUCAUCCUAAAGUUGUAGGCAUUAGGUAUUUGGUUAUCCAUUCUCUGUUUCAGUCAGGAUAACUCUGCUUCAAUUAAAAAUAAACACUCAUUGGUUUCAUACCGC